GAUGAGCGCUGGCGGCGUGCCUAAUACAUGCAAGUCGAGCGAACAGACGAGGAGCUUGCUCCUCUGACGUUAGCGGCGGACGGGUGAGUAACACGUGGAUAACCUACCUAUAAGACUGGGAUAACUUCGGGAAACCGGAGCUAAUACCGGAUAAUAUAUUGAACCGCAUGGUUCAAUAGUGAAAGACGGUUUUGCUGUCACUUAUAGAUGGAUCCGCGCCGCAUUAGCUAGUUGGUAAGGUAACGGCUUACCAAGGCAACGAUGCGUAGCCGACCUGAGAGGGUGAUCGGCCACACUGGAACUGAGACACGGUCCAGACUCCUACGGGAGGCAGCAGUAGGGAAUCUUACGCAAUGGGCGAAAGCCUGACGGAGCAACGCCGCGUGAGUGAUGAAGGUCUUCGGAUCGUAAAACUCUGUUAUUAGGGAAGAACAAAUGUGUAAGUAACUAUGCACGUCUUGACGGUACCUAAUCAGAAAGCCACGGCUAACUACGUG
rnacentral:rRNA from 1 species